rnacentral:lncRNA from 1 species
CUGCAGCUACUCGAAAUACUUGUUCCACUAAAUGUAAGAUCAAAUUAAAAGACAAACAAAAAAAAACACCAUGAAAUGACUAAAUAUACCCAUCACUUAGAUCAUUUCAUCUUUUUUUUUUCGAGACCAAAAAACAAGGUUUAAGUUUGGAAAAGUAAAAGAAGCGGAAUAAGAAAAACACUUUGCCGGACCCCUUCACCGUAAAGUUUGAAAAACCAAAAAAAAAAAAAAACGGUACAUCGUAAUUAGAAAAGCCAAUUUGCCAGACCCUUUCACAGUCGCCCUGAAAUCUCCAAGACAAAACCCCUUCACCGUCGCUGCCUGAGUCCGUUGCCGCCUAUGUCCGUCUCCCGAUC